AUGCACGCUGGCGGCGUGCCUAAUACAUGCAAGUCGAGCGAACAGACGAGGAGCUUGCUCCUCUGACGUUAGCGGCGGACGGGUGAGUAACACGUGGCUAACCUACCUAUAAGACUGGGAUAACUUCGGGAAACCGGAGCUAAUACCGGAUAAUAUAUUGAACCGCAUGGUUCAAUAGUGAAAGACGGUUUUGCUGUCACUUAUAGAUGGAUCCGCGCCGCAUUAGCUAGUUGGUAAGGUAACGGCUUACCAAGGCAACGAUGCGUAGCCGACCUGAGAGGGUGAUCGGCCACACUGGAACUGAGACACGGUCCAGACUCCUACGGGAGGCAGCAGUAGGGAAUCUUCCGCAAUGGGCGAAAGCCUGACGGAGCAACGCCGCGUGAGUGAUGAAGGUCUUCGGAUCGUAAAACUCUGUUAUUAGGGAAGAACAAAUGUGUAAGUAACUAUGCACGUCUUGACGGUACCUAAUCAGAAAGCCACGGCUAACUACGUG
rnacentral:rRNA from 1 species